rnacentral:rRNA from 1 species
GAUGAACGCUAGCGGCAGGCUUAACACAUGCAAGUCGAGGGGUAUGGUUCUUCGGAACCAGAGACCGGCGCACGGGUGCGUAACGCGUAUGCAAUCUACCUUUUACAGAGGGAUAGCCCAGAGAAAUUUGGAUUAAUACCUCAUAGUAUUGCAGGAUGGCAUCAUCCAGCAAUUAAAGUCACAACGGUAAAGAUGAGCAUGCGUCCCAUUAGCUAGUUGGUAAGGUAACGGCUUACCAAGGCUACGAUGGGUAGGGUCCUGAGAGGGAGAUCCCCCACACUGGUACUGAGACACGGACCAGACUCCUACGGGAGGCAGCAGUGAGGAAUAUUGGACAAUGGGCGCAAGCCUGAUCCAGCCAUGCCGCGUGCAGGAUGACGGUCCU